CUCUGGGCGAAGAAAAGCAGGAGAUUUUGUGAGUGGUCAGGCUGGGGACAGUGACACUGGAGAUGCACGUUCAUGAGAAUUCUCCAUUUUUUUCUUUCAGCCUUUGAAUGAAUACAACGUCGCCCGGUUGGAAUAUUAUCGCUAUUUUACGAGAAAAAUAGGCAGGGUCGUAUAGUGACCUGAACACACGAACAAAACAGAGCUAUUUGAAUAUAACUAUGGAUUAUUUGGAACCAAAACAACAUUUGUUGUUGAAGUAGAAGUCCUGGGAGUGCAUUCUGAUGAAGAACAGCAAAGGAACAACAUACAUUUGUGCAUGAGGCAGAUGCGGUGCGACUCCAGUUUCGCCAUCAAAUGGAAGAUGGUGUCCACUCACUCUGGUCAGUCUCACAGGAGGAAAGGAAGGAGAGAGCAGGGACCGAGAGGCGGCUGGGAAAAAUCGUUAUGUUUCACUAUAUUGGAUCACUCCAAAAUAUUGGUAUCACUCCGCGGCGGAGGGAUACACCCGAGGUAUUGACUCUAACAACACAAAAAUAUGGUGGACCUCUCGGAUGAGAAGGCCUUGGCUGCAGCUCAGAGCCUGGGGGCUCAGAGCAACAUGACUAAUGGACUGUACUCAGCCAGCGAAAACCAAACGGGUCAGACAGCCCCGUUACUGACACUCCAAAUAGAGAUGGGACAGAAGUGUGUGUGAGCGCUCAGAAUUGGGAUGCGAAGAGGAGAGUGUGUGUGAAGGCUUGCCAGGUCCUGCUGUCUGAGCCCCACGCCAGGCCACCCAGAGGGUUAUAUCAUAUGUCUUUGGACAUUAGGACUUUUAGGACCUGACACUGAAUCCCUAAUCCCUUGAUCGCCAUGGUUUCUGGGCAACACAAAGAGCUGGCUGAAAUUCCAGACUAUGUCUAAAAAUAUCCAUACCCAAAUGUUCUGGAGUACUGCUUAGUUCUUCUGUAUUUCAAUUCUGCUAUCGUUCCUGAUUACCUCCAGUAAGAAGCAGUGGCUUUCUGCCGCAGUUAUGGAACUACAGCCUCUCUCCGCAAAGCCUCGCAGAAAUUCCAAUCUUAAUAGUUUAGAUGUAGAUGUUUAUUUUCUUCUGUCUACGACUUUUGUUAAUGUAAAAAUGCAUUCGGAAAGUAUUCAGACACCUUGAAUUUUUCCACAUUUUGUUAGGUUACAGACUGUAGUAGAAUUACAACACUAUGUUAAUCACAUUAUUGGUUAUGAUAAAAUGUUCCAAAUUUGGGCUCUGUUAUAGAGGAAAAUAUUCAUGCAGGUUAUACACAUAUUAAGUGUGUUUGGGAAUAGCAUUGUGUGAAUGUGAUAUGAGAGUUGUGUGAAUGUGGAAAUAAGUCUUAAUCUGCGUUUUGGAUAAUAAGGUAUUGAAUAGUGUGUAUAAUAAUCUGAUUUAGAUUUGGAUAAUAAGUUUUGAUAUAUAACGCUAUCUUGGGAUUCAGUCCACUACUGCCUAUCAUAGUAAAUAUAAUUUAGUAUUAUUAAGUGUGGGAUGUUAUUUUAGACAGUAGUGGCACGUCUGUGGUUUCUGGGAGGUUAGAGGACCAUUGAGAAUACGUGUGGAGCAUUAUUCCCAUGACCCACUGGGCAGUGUCCAGGAAACCAACGUUUUUGGGGUUCUGCUGGGAGUAGGACGAUGGAGAGUCGUUGGAAAGGCAAAUGGGGUGGUUAAUUAAUGUGAGUACCUAAGAUUUUAAGGUUAUAUAUGGAUUCUGUGAAUAUAUGACAAAUUGCAUGUGUGUACAAACGUAGACGUACAUCAGGGGUGAAAAAAAAAAGAGUUUUCUAAGGUUUAAGCAUUAUGACUGUCUACAAAGUCUGGGCAAUAGUCGCAGAAACUGAUUGGCGUAUGUCCACUUUUGGUUAACUUACUCUAACGAUGUAACUAUAAAAAGCUUAUGGGAUUUUCUCAGUCAAGUUAAUCUUUUUUUGUGUUGCCUAAUGGUUUGCUGGUGGAAACUACUGAAAAUAGGGUCGUAAUUUCCUUCAUUAAAUUGAAUAUUAAUACGAAUUGAAUAUAUGCUUGUCAACAACAGCAAGUGUUUGUUUUAUUACCUGUAGUCUAAUCAGAAUGGACUGUUACCUAUAUCUAAUGCAUUCUAAUAUUAGCGGAUAUGCAAUUGCGAUAGAGCUGUGACCAUGAUCUUAAUUGAUAACUUAACAUAGGUAUUAAUUAUUGUAUGAUAAAACAAGACUUCAACAGCAAUGAAUUGAAGUUGUGGGCAGGAAGAGGCUUUUGUAUUCUGAAAUGUAUAUUUUUCUUUAUGGGUUGACUGAUGUAUUUGAUAAAUUCGGCGCAUUACAUGUUAAUUUUUAAGUCAUGGACAUUUCAUGAGUGUGAAGCAGAAGGAGAAGAGAAAGUUGUCAAGUUUUGUUUUUUAACCUUACGAUAGAGGUAAACACAGAAUUUUGUUUGAGAAUGGGUUAUAUUUUUUUUAUACUGGUAAGAGUAGAAGAGUUUCCAUGUUUUAGUCUGUGGGUGUCAGUGACUGGUGCUCGCUGAACUCGAGCGGGCUGUAAGAAAUGAAGUGGGUUAGUUUGGUGUAGAGAGAUGACAAAGUUGAAUGGGAGAUGUUCUUUGUCAAUUUCUAAUUAUUAUUAAUCAAUUCUAUAGUUUAGGUAACACCAGUGAAUUUGAGCAGAAAGGUAAUGUCAUUUCAAACGAUAAUCUGUUUCCGUUACAUGGAACAGUGUCAAGUCAUUAAAGUGGAUUGCAGAUAGUUUUGACUAUUACGCUGAUGAGAUAGAACCAACUUUUUGAAGGUUCUAGAUUUGUUAAUGAAAACUCAGAAAAUAAAAACUUAAGAAACUUAAGAUCAAUAUGUGUGCCCCUUUAAGAUACCUCUUCUCUAACCCAUGAAAAACCCACUAAAACCAAGUGAAAUAGACCAGUCACAAUAAAUCAGACGUAGUAUUACAAACACCAACAAAUAUUCAUAACAAGUGUGUUGUGUGUGAGUGCCUGUAAACCAUAUGGCAAAAACAAACAAAAAUGGCUAGGCCUUAUUUAAUUUGGUAGGACCCUUUAUGGCCAAAUCCGGAUACCUUUAUACUUAUAAAACUGCCCAAUUUCACUAACCGCUCUCCCAGGACAAUUCACUAACCGCUCUCCCAAGACAAUAGUCUCGGGAAACAUUUCAAAGUGAGAGAAAAUGACUACCCCCAUUCUCCUGGAAGAGAAAGUGUACAUGUCGUUAAUAUUCACUACACUACCUCUUAAUCAGCAACCCAAAUGUUUUAAUUGCAAACAAAACAUGAAGAUAAUUCCACUGUACUCCCUCCAAUCAUACAUUGUUUGUUUUAAUCUACCCCAACGUUUAUGUGCCCUUAAUUUAACAUGCGCUACCCUUAUACACGGCAACAUGUAUCUCACCACUGAGUCUAACAAUUCACUCCGGUACAUGACUGGUCUCCCUUUUCAGGAAUGUUAUAACUUUAACCUUUUGCAUUGAUUUAGUAAAAAUAUAAACCUGUUGUUUAAAACCUGUUUGGGAUAGGGGGCAGUAUUUUCACGGCCGGAUAAAAAACGUACCCGAUUUAAUCUGGGUACUACUCCUGCCCAGUAACUGGAAUAUGCAUAUAAUUAGUAGAUUUGGAUAGAAAACUCUAAAGUUUCUAAAACUGUUUGAAUGGUGUCUGAGUAUAACAGAACUCAUUUGGCAGGCAAAACCCUGAGACAUUUUCUGACAGGAAGUGGAUACCUGAUGUGUUGUAUUGACUUUAAACCUAUCCCAUUGAAAAACACAGGGGUUUAGGAAUAUUUUGGCACUUCCUAUUGCUUCCACUAGAUGUCACCAGCCUUUACAAAGUGUUUUGAGUCUUCUGGAGGGAGAUCUGACCGAACAAGAGCCAUGGAACGAUGAUGUCCCAUUAGACACCUGGCGCGCGAGUUCAUGUUGGGUACCCUCGUUCCAAUACGUUAUAAAAGAGUAUGCAUUCGUCCACCUUGAAUAUUAUUCAUGUUCUGGUUAAAAAAGGCCCUAAUGAUUUAUGCUAUACAACGUUUGACAUGUUUGAACGAACGGAAAUAUAUUUUUUCCCCUCGUUCAUGACGAGAAGUCCGGCUGGCUUAGAUCAUGUGCUAACGAGACGGAGAUUUUUGGACAUAAAUGAUGAGCUUUUUUGAACAAAACUACAUUCGUUAUGGACCUGUGAUACCUGGAAG
rnacentral:lncRNA from 1 species